GGGGCAGCUGGGGGUUUGGGCAGUGACCGACGAGCGAUGAAGCCCAGCUUGCUGGGUGGAUUAGUGGCGAACGGGUGAGUAACACGUGGGUGAUCUGCCCUGCACUUCGGGAUAAGCCUGGGAAACUGGGUCUAAUACCGGAUAGGACCUUCUGCCGCAUGGUGGGGGGUGGAAAGGUUUUCCGGUGCAGGAUGGGCCCGCGGCCUAUCAGCUUGUUGGUGGGGUAACGGCCCACCAAGGCGACGACGGGUAGCCGGCCUGAGAGGGCGACCGGCCACACUGGGACUGAGACACGGCCCAGACUCCUACGGGAGGCAGCAGUGGGGAAUAUUGCACAAUGGGCGCAAGCCUGAUGCAGCGACGCCGCGUGAGGGAUGACGGCCUUCGGGUUGUAAACCUCUUUCAGUACCGACGAAGCGCAAGUGACGGUAGGUACAGAAGAAGCACCGGCCAACUACGUGCCAGCAGCCGCGGUAAUACGUAGGGUGCGAGCGUUGUCCGGAAUUACUGGGCGUAAAGAGCUCGUAGGCGGUUUGUCGCGUCGUCUGUGAAAACCCGCAGCUCAACUGCGGGCUUGCAGGCGAUACGGGCAGACUUGAGUACUGCAGGGGAGACUGGAAUUCCUGGUGUAGCGGUGAAAUGCGCAGAUAUCAGGAGGAACACCGGUGGCGAAGGCGGGUCUCUGGGCAGUAACUGACGCUGAGGAGCGAAAGCGUGGGUAGCGAACAGGAUUAGAUACCCUGGUAGUCCACGCCGUAAACGGUGGGCGCUAGGUGUGGGUUUCCUUCCACGGGAUCCGUGCCGUAGCUAACGCAUUAAGCGCCCCGCCUGGGGAGUACGGCCGCAAGGCUAAACUCAAGGAAUUGACGGGGGCCCGCACAAGCGGCGGAGCAUGUGGAUUAAUUCGAUGCACGCGAAGAACCUUACCUGGGUUUGACAUACACCGGACC
rnacentral:rRNA from 1 species